rnacentral:rRNA from 1 species
UACGAAGGGGGCUAGCGUUGUUCGGAUUUACUGGGCGUAAAGAGCGCGCAGGCGGUCGUCCAAGUCGCGUGUGAAAGCCCCCGGCUCAACUGGGGAGGGUCACGCGAUACUGGUCGACUCGAAGGCAGGAGAGGGUAGUGGAAUUCCCGGUGUAGUGGUGAAAUGCGUAGAUAUCGGGAGGAACACCAGUGGCGAAGGCGACUACCUGGCCUGUUCUUGACGCUGAGGCGCGAAAGCUAGGGGAGCAAACGGG